CAAGUCGAACGAAAAGACGGAAAGAGCUUGCUCUUUUCAGAAUUGAGUGGCAAACGGGUGAGUAACACGUAAACAACCUGCCUUCAGGAUGGGGACAACAGACGGAAACGACUGCUAAUACCGAAUAAGACCACGGGAUCACAUGGUUCUGAGGUAAAAGAUUUAUCGGUUUGGGGUGGGCUCGCGUCCGAUUAGGUAGUUGGUGAGGUAAUGGCCCACCAAGCCGACGAUCGGUAGCCGACCUGAGAGGGUGAUCGGCCACAUUGGGACUGAGACACGGCCCAAACUCC
rnacentral:rRNA from 1 species